rfam:Brachypodium distachyon strain Bd21 chromosome 2, whole genome shotgun sequence.
UUUUUACUCCCUCCGUCUCAUAUUAAGUGACUUUCUAUUACAUGUAUCUAGAUGCAUUUUAGGCAUAGGUACAUCCAUAUUUGGGCAAUUUUGAGUCACUUAACAUGGGACGGAGGGAGUACGUU